rnacentral:tRNA from 1 species
UUUUAUUAGUAUAAUUUUAUUACAAUUAGCUUCCAACUAAUUAAUCUUUUUGAUAAAAUAA